rnacentral:lncRNA from 1 species
CAGCAGCAUACAGAAGUUCUAGGACCAAGGAUCCAACCUGUGCCACAGCAGUAACCUGAGUUGCUGCAGUAACACCGUUAGAUCCUUGACCUGCUGUGCCACAAGGGAACUUCCAUUAUGUUUUUAAUAUGGAAAAUGAGACUAUCUCUGAAAAUGGCAACUUGGACAAGACAAAUUCAGACCUGCACCCUCUUCCUUAUCGAAGGGAGAAGGGUAACGCGGAAGACUCGGUGCACAGGGGAAGGCCAGGUGGCAUGAACAGGCUUUGGCCUCUCCCAGCUGGUGGCUAAUCCCAAGAUGCUGUGCUUUCCACUCCUCCAGGUGUUCCACAGGGGGAGGAAGGCUGACUGCAGCUUUGAGCACCACAGUGGUUUCAUUUGCUAAGAAGAGGCCCAUCAUAAACCCAACUCAGACACCCUCAUGGGGUUCAGUCUGAGAGCUGACCUGGAGGAGGUAGGUUUAGAUGCUCUAGAGGUUUGUACUGAGGACACGGUGGGGCAAAGGGAUGAGGGUCUAUGAUACAUCCAGUUAUGGAAUGGAUGAUCUCUCCAGUAUUUCUGAGAGAGGAGAACAGUGCUCUGGGGUUCCUGUUAAUUUCCUCUGUCCUCCCCAACAGGUCCCACUGAACCUCCUCGAUCUUUACAAAGCACUGGGGCUGGGAGCACAGCUGGGUGGUGAGGGGUACACCUUGACCUCUCUGAGCCUGCUUCCUCUUUGUAAAGUGAGGCACAUACUCACAGGUAAGCUUCCCCAGGCACAGAGAAUGAUGAACGAAGCUGGUGGUGCUAAGUGCCUUCCCCUGCACAGAGCUUCCAAGCCUGGUGCCUGGGCAAACGCUUUAUCAGCCUCAUUCCCGAAACUCUCAUAACCCUGGGAGGACACUGCAUCAUUCACAUUUCACCGAAGGCUUGGAGAACUCUCCCAAAAUGCAAGAUUCGGAGCAGGAAGGGUAACUGAGCAGGACCCCGUGGGGCUUUUCAGGAACAGACACCCCCCUCCCCCAUGUCCUCUGCCUGCCUCCUGUCAGCAGAAAAACUGUAGCCGCCUAGGCCUUCCCUGAGUUGCGAAGAGUAAAUUUAAUCAGAGAAGUGAGAACAUGCAGAAAGAAAGGAAAACAGUCAAGAAAGACAAAAUAGUAAUAGUUUGGCCAUUAAACAAAGUCAAGGACUUUCAGCUGCUCCUCAAGGGCUAGAUACCCUAUUCUGAGCCAUGUCCUUUUAACCGUUUUAUAGCUACUGAAACCCCCUUAGGGGAAGAAGUUAACUAUGUGCUGCCCACAAGCACAUAGACCCCAGACCUGCUGGAACCAGAAGGCUGAUGAUGCUGACUCCCAAUGACCUCACCACUAACCCAUCGGAAGAAUGUCCAUGAGCUGAUCACACACCCCCACACGCCCCCACAAGCCCCCUCUCUCACUCUGUCUUUAAAUACCUUUCUCUGAAAGCCUUCAAGGAGUUCAGGCCUUGAAAUCACUAGCUGUCUGUCCAUUUGCCUUCUUUGGUGCCUGCAAUAAAUGCCAUACUUUCCUUCACUACAACCUGAUGUCAGUAGACUGACUUUACUGCACACAGGUCAACAGACCUUAGAUUGGUUCAGUUAACAGAACCACAGCCAUGUUUACUGAGCUUGAGUCUUUGCAUUAGUCGGGGUUCUCCAAAAAAACAGAACCAGUAGGGUGUGUGUGUGUGUGUGUGUGUGUGUGUGUGAGUAGACGAACCUAUCUAUAUGUUUCUAUUUUCUAUGUACCUACAUAUGUAUCAAGAGAAUUCGCUUCAAAGGAACUGGCUCCCAUGGUUGUGGGGGGUAGAAAGUCCCAAAUCUGUAGGGUGGACUGGCAGGUUGGAGACCCAGGGAAGGGUGGAUGCUGCAGUUUGAGUUGGAAGCCAUCUGGAGGCAGAAUUCCUUCUUCUCAGGCUGACCUAAGUUUGUUCUCUUAAGGCUUCUACUGAUUGGACAAGGCCCCCUUCCAUCCUCUGCUUCAUUCAGGGUCUAUUGAUUUAUAUAUUAAUCACAUUUUAAAAAGUUGGGGUGGACACACAUGUGGCAUGUGGAAGUUUCCAGGCUGGGGAUUCAAUCUGAGCUGCAGCUGUGACCUAUGGCAUAGCUGUAGCAACACCAACCACUGUUCCAGGCUGAGGAUCAAAUCCAUGUCUCCAGAAACAACACCAGAUCCUUAACCGGCUGUGCCACAGUUGACACAUAAUUAACCACUGCUGUCUCUAUAACUGUUAGAUGUAACAUGAAAGAAAUUAAGAAUGAAAGUAAGAGUCCAAGUUAAUGAUGAUGCCAUACUUUUCUAGCACUUCUAGUUUUUAUUCUACAUUCAAAUUAGAUAGCAGUUUCUUUCUAACAUUACUCUUUUGCAAACAUGCAAAGAAAAUUAAGAUUUCCUGGAAUUCCUCAUCCAUGAUGCUUCAUGUCCUGACAUAUCAAGAGCAAGACUGGUGUCAGAGUUACCUCUGGGACAUUACUCCAAGCUGCCAACCCCCCUCUGCAAGCUGGGGGGUGAUGUUUUUUAUGUAGAGUAGGCUGAGUGAUCUUUUUGUAUGUACCUCAGUUAAAAAGCAGAACAAUAAAUUCACCUUCUUCUAGGGACCAUCCUUCUUUAGGAUCCACAAAGCACUUGAUUCCGAUGGGCAAGGAAGUAUAUAGCUCAUAGUCACAUCUUAAAGAUGACUGCCUGCCCCAUUAAGAAGAAAUCUAAGAGCUGCUGCUCUGUUUCCUGACUUUUUGUGCACACAAUACCAUUUCUCUUCAAUGUGGGUCAAGUGUAACCCUCCUGAAGAUGUUUUAAGCAGCAAAUCAAGCUCAGCACAUGCAAAAUGAUGACACCACACACUGCUAUGACCCGGUGUGCACAAGCCCAGGAUAUGAUGACCAGCCCUGGACCUGGGUGAUGGAAUGGCUCCCAGCAAUUUGAGGGGUGAUGGAAUGCAAGGGAGACAUGCAUCUUAGGAUCAAUAAACUAUGACACGGGCAUAAAACAGCCUGGAGUGCUCAAGUGUUUAGCUAAUAUAUUACUUUAUUAGUAAAACCUCUUAGUUUCUAGCUGAUGUUUCAUUAUUUAAAUACGUGUUGUCUCCUUAAAAACAGGCUGACCAUACAGCUCAGUUUUCCCAGGAGAGCAAAUUACCAAAUGCUCAUCUGUAAAGUGUCCCAUUUUGGACAAUCCCAACCUGCAAGGCUACCACUAUUAAGGCCAGGAUCAAUGUGUGGAUAUAGCUUGUGACUCCUGGAGUCUGUUCACUAUAUUAUCAAAGAACCCAUACCUAAGGAUAUAUAAGAGCCAGGCCCACUCUUCAACCAGUUUCAGAGUUUGCCUCUGCUCUUCUUGGGCAUCAGAUUUUACUUGAGGACACACCUUCAUGACCAACAGCCUGAGUGGCUGUCUGACUGCACCCCCCAUCCCACACCCCUGCUUUUUCCUUACAGUUGGGUGCUAAACCUGAGUGCAACCAUGGUCAGCCCUGGGCAGUGUGGGAGGGAGAAACGCCCCCCUCCCGAUGCCCAGCUGGUCACUCUUUUCCUCUUUUCUCAGCAGCCUGGCUCUAUCUGCACCCUGCCCCUCAAGGUCAAGGUAUCUCUGGGAUACUUGUGUUCAAAGCCAGUCUUGGAAGCUACCUCCAAAAACUGGAGUCUGAUGACCCUGGUUUUCUGUUCCAUGUUACCCCUGAGACCUUCCUUGCCCAGGAAUCUGAAACCCCACCAGGAUCCCUCUUCCUCCCUUGGCUUUGCUCUCAGGGCCUUCCUCCUGCUGCGUCUCUGUCUCCCCAUCAGAGGACAGGCUCACAAGGCCAGGCCAAGUCCUGAUCUCCACGAAUGCCCAGCCCCUCCACAGCAUACAGAGAGCCCUAUCCCUUUGGUAAUGUUGGUAAAUAACAUUAUUAUUUGUACUUGAAAGGGAGUUACGUACAUUAGGACUCACAUCAUAUCCCGAACUUGAAUCCGUACUUAUAAGAGUUAAAAUGUUCUUCCAAAAACAGAGAUUCGCUCCUACUGCUGCUAUUGCUAUUGUAAGGAACAGUUUCCAUGUGCAUUUCUUUUUUUAAAAAUGAUUUUUAUUUUUUCCUUUAUAGCUGGUUUACAGUCUUCUAUCAAUUUUCUACUGUACAGCAAGGUGACCCAGUCACACAUACAUAUAUACAUUCUUUUUCUCACAUUACCGUGCUCCAUCACAAGUAACUAUAGUUCCCAGUGCUAAACAGCAGGAUCUCAUUGCCUAUCCAUUCCAAAGGCAAUAGUUUGCAUCUAUUAACCCCAAAUUCCCAGUCUAUUCCACUCCCUCCCCCUUCCCCUUGGCAACCACAAGUCUGUUCUCCAAGUCCAUGAUUUUCUUUUCUGUGGAAAGAUUCAUUUGUGCCGAAUAUUAGAUUCCAGAUAUAAAUUAUAUCAUAUGGUAUUUGUCUUUCCCUUUCUGACUUACUUCACUUAAUAUGCAAGUCUCUAGUUCCAUCCAUGAUGCUGAAAAUGGCAUUAUUUCCCACGGGCUUAAACAACAGAAGUUUAUUGUCUCACAGUCUGUAGGGUGGACGUCUAAGAUCAAGGCCUCGACAGGACAGGCAUCUCUGAGGCCUCUCUCCUGGGCUUGCCGACAACCACCUUCUUCCUGUGUUCUCACAUGGUCUUCCUCUAUACCCUGGUGUCCCUUCCUCUUCUUGUAAGGACUCCAGUCACAUGGGAUCGGGGCCCCACCAUCAUGACCUCUGUUUAACCUUAACUGCUUGCUUAAAGGCCCCAUCUC